rnacentral:rRNA from 1 species
AACGAACGCUGGCGGCAGGCUUAACACAUGCAAGUCGAACGCAUCCUUCGGGGUGAGUGGCAGACGGGUGAGUAACGCGUGGGAACGUGCCCUUCAGUUCGGGAUAACCCAGGGAAACUUGGGCUAAUACCGGAUACGUGCGAGAGCAGAAAGAUUUAUCGCUGAAGGAUCGGCCCGCGUCUGAUUAGCUAGUUGGUGGGGUAAUGGCCCACCAAGGCGACGAUCAGUAGCUGGUCUGAGAGGAUGAUCAGCCACAUUGGGACUGAGACACGGCCCAGACUCCGAGGGGAGGCAGCGGUGGGAAAUAUGGGACAGGGGGCGAAAGCCUUAUCCAGCCAUGCCGCGGGGGUGAUAAAGGCCUUAGGGUUGAAAAGCUCUUUCGUCGGGGACGAAAAUGACGGUACGGGAAGAAGACGCCCCGGCUAACUUCGUGCCAGCCGCCGCAGUAA